AUUGAACGCUGGCGGCAUGCCUUACACAUGCAAGUCGAGCGGUAACAGGUCUUCGGAUGCUGACGAGUGGCGAACGGGUGAGUAAUACAUCGGAACGUGCCCGAGAGUGGGGGAUAACGAGGCGAAAGCUUUGCUAAUACCGCAUACGAUCUCAGGAUGAAAGCAGGGGACCGCAAGGCCUUGCGCUCACGGAGCGGCCGAUGGCAGAUUAGGUAGUUGGUGGGAUAAAAGCUUACCAAGCCGACGAUCUGUAGCUGGUCUGAGAGGACGACCAGCCACACUGGGACUGAGACACGGCCCAGACUCCUACGGGAGGCAGCAGUGGGGAAUUUUGGACAAUGGGCGCAAGCCUGAUCCAGCCAUGCCGCGUGCAGGAUGAAGGCCUUCGGGUUGUAAACUGCUUUUGUACGGAACGAAAAGACUCUGGUUAAUACCUGGGGUCCAUGACGGUACCGUAAGAAUAAGCACCGGCUAACUACGUGCCAGCAGCCGCCGUAAAAC
rnacentral:rRNA from 1 species